rnacentral:lncRNA from 1 species
CUUUUAUUCUGAGACAGUCUCACUAUACAACCCUGACUGCCCUAAAACUUGCUAUGUGGACCAGGAUGGCUUCAAACUCAGAGACCCACCUGCCUCCGCCAGCGGAGUUCUGGGAUUAAAGGUGUGAGCCAACAAGCCGAAGCUUAAGAACCUUUUAAAGGGUUUUGGGAUGGCACAGGCUUCCAGGAAUACCUUAGCAGAGGGCUGGACUGGAUUCCCAGGAGAGGACAUCUGCCUGUGACCCUCCGCCCCUCCUGCAGUGGCUCCCUGUCCUCUGUUGAAUGUCACCCUGGAGAGCAGCUGCUACCAGACCGCCCAGCACUCUGUUCUGAGUCACCCUCUGACGUAUGGCUUUGCUCUUGUUUUCCGUUAGAGCAACUAUCUGGUGAGUCAGGACAGCGUGGAGGGGCUGCACGGCAGCUCUGAGGGAAGAGGCAAAGGCAGACAAAGGCCUUCAGACCUUCCCUGUCUCCACCUAGUAGGCGACUCCGGCAAGGAGCCAUCCUGAGAACCCUGGGCUAUAGAGGGAUGAAGCAAGGUCAUUUGAAGGGGAAGCUGGCUCACUCUCCUUCCCCAGGAGCAUCCGCACCCGGCUUGCCACUCUGACAGAUUUCCAACUGAGCAUCUGAGUCCUCCUGAGGCUCCAGUCAGGUCAAAUGAAGGGACGCAGCAACAAGAAGAGGCCAAGGAGGUGACAAGAUGGCUCAGCUCCAGUGGCAGGGAAGGUGCCGCAAGCUCACUCCAACCUCCACUGUUUGCUCUGCACAGCCCUCACCACGACUUCCUGUCUGAGCUCAGGCCUCUGGAAAGAGAAGCUGAUAGCUGAAGAAUGGUGAAGGAAGAAGUCACCCUGAGGAAGAACAGUCAGCGGUACAGACCCUGGAGGGAGGUGCAUUCUGCGGCAAGGUCACCAGCAUGCAGGGACACAGCCCACCCAGUGCAGAACCAGGCCAGACUCUGCCUGUCUGCCUUUGCUCCCUCAUAAUUUGCUAAUGAGACAAGAAGCCUCUUUCACACUUGUUCUUCACCUGGCUGUCGGUAGUCCCCAGGCUCUGGUCCUUUCUUAAAGACACCUGAAGUGAUGAGAUAGAAGCCAAGAGGCUGAAAACUAUCAGGGGCACCUAUGGGAACAGAGCUCCAGCCCAGAAAGCUGAGCGAUUCCCACUAACGCCAGGACUAGAUGGUUAACCAACAACUCCUCGGUUUCUUUUCCCUCCCAACACUGAACCAACCAGAGAAAUCUGCCAACAGUGGAUGCGAAGCUGUCUGGUUGGCUAGUGAAGCCACUCCCGUGGGCUUUUUACCCAAAUGACAUCCAACCCCAGCAACUGGGUUUCAUUUUAGGACCUUUUUUGAGCCAGCAAGAAUGCUUUCAGGAAGCCUAAAACGAGACUAACUACCUAAGAAGACAGAGGCUAUCAGACUCAAACUCCAGAGUAUCCUGCCUUAUCCGAGCC